rnacentral:rRNA from 1 species
UACAGAGGUCCCAAGCGUUGUUCGGAUUCACUGGGCGUAAAGGGUGCGUAGGCGGUCGGGUAAGUCUGGCGUGAAAUCUCCAAGCCUAACUUGGAAACUGCGUUGGAUACUAUCCGGCUCGAGGAAUGGAGGGGAGACUGGAAUACUUGGUGUAGCAGUGAAAUGCGUAGAUAUCAGGAGGAACACCUGCGGUGUAGACGGCUUUCUGGACCAUUGCUGACGCUGAGACACGAAAGCGUGGGUAGCAAACAGG